AUUGAACGCUGGCGGCGUGCUUUACACAUGCAAGUCGAACGGCAGCACGGGUGCUUGCACUUGGUGGCGAGUGGCGAACGGGUGAGUAAUACAUCGAGACGUACCAAGUAGAGGGGGAUAACUAAUCGAAAGAUUGGCUAAUACCGCAUAAUCUCUGAGGAGGAAAGGUGGGGACCAGCAAUGGCCUGUCGUUACUUGAGCGGUCGAUGGUUGAUUAGCUAGUUGGUGGGGUAAGAGCUUACCAAGGCGAUGAUCGAUAGCUGUUCUGAGAGGAAGAUCAGCCACACUGGGACUGAGACACGGCCCAGACUCCUACGGGAGGCAGCAGUGGGGAAUAUUGGACAAUGGGGGCAACCCUGAUCCAGCAACGCCGCGUGAAUGAAGAAGGCCUCGGUU
rnacentral:rRNA from 1 species